rnacentral:lncRNA from 10 species
ACUUUGUGGCGGUCAUUUUGGCUGCCUUGCAGCUGUUUUACCUGUUCAGAAACUACAGAGGGCUGGGUCAGGUCUGAGGGAAAAGGAGGCGAAGGCAACAGGAAGCCUUGUCCCUACUGCACAGAGGGUAUCUUCUUCCAAAAUUGGAACUGAGCUACCUGAUGGAAAAUGAGCAAGAUUAUUGUGUGGUGAAGAGAGGCCUCUCAUAAAGUUCCUGUCCAGAUGUGCCUUCUCUCUGGAUCCACAUUUCUUCUCUCAUCACAGAUCUUUCACCUGGUAUCACUUUUUGUCAUCCUUAAAUAGAAUUUUCUUUAAGAAUUUCAUUUUAUGCAGGUUAAUUUUCCAUUAAAUUUCUUAUUUUUG